AAGUCGUAACAAGGUCUCCGUAGGUGAACCUGCGGAGGGAUCAUUACAAGAACGCCCGGGCUUCGGCCUGGUUAUUCAUAACCCUUUGUUGUCCGACUCUGUUGCCUCCGGGGCGACCCUGCCUUCGGGCGGGGGCUCCGGGUGGACACUUCAAACUCUUGCGUAACUUUGCAGUCUGAGUAAACUUAAUUAAUAAAUUAAAACUUUUAACAACGGAUCUCUUGGUUCUGGCAUCGAUGAAGAACGCAGCGAAAUGCGAUAAGUAAUGUGAAUUGCAGAAUUCAGUGAAUCAUCGAAUCUUUGAACGCACAUUGCGCCCCCUGGUAUUCCGGGGGGCAUGCCUGUUCGAGCGUCAUUUCACCACUCAAGCCUCGCUUGGUAUUGGGCAACGCGGUCCGCCGCGUGCCUCAAAUCGUCCGGCUGGGUCUUCUGUCCCCUAAGCGUUGUGGAAACUAUUCGCUAAAGGGUGUUCGGGAAGCUACGCCGUAAAACAACCCCAUUUCUAAGGUUGACCUCGGAUCAGGUAGGGAUACCCGCUGAACUUAA
rnacentral:rRNA from 1 species